UACGAAGGGGGCUAGCGUUGCUCGGAAUCACUGGGCGUAAAGCGCACGUAGGCGGUAUCUUUAAGUCAGGGGUGAAAUCCCGGAGCUCACGUCCGGACUGCCUUUGAUGACUGGGAUCUUGAGUUCGAGAGAGGGUGAGUGGAACUGCGAGUGUAGAGGUGAAAUUCGUAGAUAUUCGCAAGAACACCAGUGGCGAAGGC
rnacentral:rRNA from 1 species